rnacentral:rRNA from 1 species
GUGCCUAACACAUGCAAGUCGAGCGAGAAAAGGGGGGCAACUCCCUGAGUACAGCGGCGCACGGGUGAGUAACACGUGGGUAAUCUGCCCUGGAGUGGGGAAUAACACCGGGAAACCGGUGCUAAUACCGCAUACGAUAGCGGGAUCUGCGGAUUUCGUUAUGAAAGGAGCAAUUCGCUCCAGGAGGAGCCCGCGGCUGAUUAGCUAGUUGGUGAGGUAAUGGCUCACCAAGGCUACGAUCAGUAUCCGGUCUGAGAGGACGGUCGGACACACUGGAACUGAGACACGGUCCAG